rnacentral:lncRNA from 1 species
UGGUGUCAAGGACCUGCACCUUUCUCAUGCCUGUGCUAAAAUUUCAAAUCUCUAUUAAUAGUCCCACCCUGCUCUUUUACAUGAAAUCUUACAAACUUAUAUACGUUCAUGCGUUGCAAGAUCAACAAGCCAACAAAGAGAGGAUGAGAGGUGCCUGUCGCAUGUAUUAUGCGUCACCAAUCGAAAUGAACAAAAAGAGGAGAGGCGCAUAAUGGAAAGAAAGGUCUCAGUUAAAUUGCCAUUUGAGCUAAUAAUCCUAAAGAAGGAGAGAGAGCCUUGGAUGUCUAUGGUACAGUCAUGUGGGAGCUUUCACCGGAGGCAACUUCGACACUCCCACAUCCGCGCCUACCGGCAGACGAGCAACACCACCCUGCCUACCGCGCCUCCGCCACAGCCCCCGCGCGCUGGCAUGGCAUAUGGUCGGCCGCCAGAUCUGGCGAGCAACCGAGCCACUGCACACCGGCUCCGUUGCCUGCAGCCACAAUCGGGGUGAGCUACACCACCACGGCACGGGGACUCCGCCCUUGUCCCGGUGCACCGACGAGCACGCUGUCACCGCCCCAGCUGUUGCAGCAAACACGUCGGCGCUGCCAGCCAGGAAGUGGCUGCCUAGCCACCGUGGGCGAGAAGAGGAGAGCAGCGCUUGGCUGGUGUUAGUGGAUGGAGAAGAGAAGGACGAGCUACUUUGGGCGAUGAAGUAGCAUGAGGAGGAAGAUGGGGGUGGAGCGGAUGGAUAAGAUAAACGGCGCUGUGUGGAGGCGAUGAAGUAGCAUGAGGAGGAAGAUGGGGGCGAAGCGGAUGGAUAAGAGAAACGGCGCUGUGUGGAUAGAAACGAGGCACACAGUGGGCCGUCGGUGGGGAUUUCUGGGUGUGCAUGUUGCUUUUUUAAAAAAAAUCAAAACUGUACGAACUGGAACUCUGGAAGGUGCUAGAUGCGGCAUCCAGGCGGCUGGAACGGGACCAGAAUGUGAUGUGCAUGCGCGUGCCUUCCUGCUGGGAUUGAUGUACUACUACUAAGUACUAACCAGACCAAGAUGAGUAGUAAGUACUGGGGUAUUUAUGUUGUUCAGAGUUAUUCGUGGGUGUAUAUCAAUCAAGGGAUUCGUGUUGUUCAGUUUGACUGUGCUUUAGUUUUGUUGUAGGAUUGAAAAAAAUUGUACAAUUUUGGUUGUUUUUUUAUACUUUUGCUUUUUUCAUCCACAAAUUUGAAUUUUGAAUUGUCCUUUUCAUCCGAGAUUUUCCGAAAAAAGUUUAAAAUUCCAAAAUUCGCCCAUUUCAUUCAAGGGCAGUAAAAUUUGCAAAACGAAACAUAAAACCUUGGCUGGAUGCUAUGCAUGCUUGCACCGAUUAUAAUUCUUUUUUUUAGAUGAGCACAAAUUAUAAUUACUUGUUGUUGCUUGUUGUUACUGUUAUAAUUUAAUAUUCAUGCUUGCCAGAUCUUAGGAUUAUCAGAUAGACUAACUAAAAGUGAGUGAUUAUUGGAAAGAAAUAAUUCUUAAGGUAGAAGAUAUUGGGGCUCACUAUUACUUGUUGAUCAUCAAAAUAUUCCUCAAGUCUGAAUGUCAUCAAUGUCGUUGGUGAGAUAGGCAAGAGAGAGGAGGGAUGAAUAGUAGAGAUAGUGUGACAACGGUGCAUCUUGCUCGCGUCUUAUUUCGACCCACACACCAACUAGGAGGUAGGAGCUCUUGCCUUUAGGACGUGAAAACUGAAAAGGACACGAACACUAUCCAUAGCUGGAUAAGGGUUAGGCGAUGUUGUACUAAUAUAUAUACAACACAGGUNNNNNNNNNNNNNNNNNNNNNNNNNNNNNNNNNNNNNNNNNNNNNNNNNNNNNNNNNNNNNNNNNNNNNNNNNNNNNNNNNNNNNNNNNNNNNNNNNNNNNNNNNNNNNNNNNNNNNNNNNNNNNNNNNNNNNNNNNNNNNNNNNNNNNNNNNNNNNNNNNNNNNNNNNNNNNNNNNNNNNNNNNNNNNNNNNNNNNNNNNNNNNNNNNNNNNNNNNNNNNNNNNNNNNNNNNNNNNNNNNNNNNNNNNNNNNNNNNNNNNNNNNNNNNNNNNNNNNNNNNNNNNNNNNNNNNNNNNNNNNNNNNNNNNNNNNNNNNNNNNNNNNNNNNNNNNNNNNNNNNNNNNNNNNNNNNNNNNNGUGUUUCAUGUCCGACUUAUGAAUUAUCCUUUUGAUUACACCUUUUGUUGUAUAUAAAUUAUUACAGCAUCACAUUUUUAACUUAUUGGGUUAGGACGUGAGUGAUGCUGAAGUAUUUUUUUUUUUUGAGGGGAGUGAGCGAUGCUAAAGUUGAUUACUGAAAUUCGCAGUAAAUCUCUGAGACGCAAAGUUUCUGGAUCGCAGCGAGGUGGUGGACGUGUCUUGUCUCCUGUCUCUGAAUCUUGUUGCCGGACGUGUGGCUCCAAAUUCUUAAGCUUUGCGAACCCGAGACCCACAAACCACCGGGCUCACUGCUCCGGUCCGCAGCUCCUGUCCAAGAAAUGCUCGUCGUUGCCAUGGCACCGGUUCCGCUGAGCACCUUCGUGUCCUCCCCUGCGCGUCACCCUUGUUCCGAUUCGUAUCAUGGCCGUCGCCGGGGUGCCGUCUCUGCGUCGUCGUCCUCCUCCUCUGCUAAGGCGGAGGAAGUGGUCAUCGUGGGUGCGGGCAUCGCGGGUCUGGCCACCGCGCUCUCCCUGCGCCGGCUCGGCGUGAGCGCCACCGUGCUGGAGCAGGGCCCGUCCCUGCGCGCGGGCGGCACGUCGCUGACGCUGUUCAAGAACGGGUGGCGCGUGCUGGACUCCAUCGGCGUCGCCGACGAGCUCCGGGCCAAGUACCUCCGCGUCCAGGGGUACACCUACCUAGCACUUCUCCUCUCUCCUUCCUUCAUGCGUCCAGUGCUUAAAUUGCGAGGUUUCAGCUGAUCGCAGGAUGAGGAUGCGGUCGUCGGCGGGCGGUCGUGACCUGCGCGAGUUCUCCUUCGAGGAAGAGGCUCCCGGGUAUGUCUGCCUCAACACUUGCCUUGUGUUCUUGUAUCGAUUUGCUCUGCUUUAACUAUUGAUGUGUGCGUCAGGCAGGAGGUGCGGGCGGUAGAGAGGGGAGCGCUGCUCGCGGCGCUGGCCUCCAAGCUCCCGCCGGGCGCCAUCUCCUUCUCGUCCAGGCUCAAAUCCAUCGCCGGCCAAGGGCCCGAUGGCACCCUGCUGGAGCUCCAGGACGGGAGGCGGCUCCUGUCCAAAGUGGUGCUGGGCUGCGACGGCGUCAACUCCCCGAUCGCGAGGUGGAUGGGGUUCUCGGAGCCCCGGUACGUGGGGCACAUGGCGUUCCGUGGCCUCGCGGACUACGCUGGCGGGCAGCCGUUCGAGUCCAAGGUGAACUACAUCUACGGCCGGGGCGUCCGCGCCGGCUUCGUCCCGGUCUCCCCGACCAAAGUCUACUGGUUCAUCUGCUUCAACAGCGCAACCCCAGGUACUUCAUUUUGAUAUGACAUAUUGACAUGAGAAGGCGAGGUUUGAUCAAGUUGCUUGGACUGAUCUUGCAUGGCAUUGGCAUUGGCGUUGGCAUGGCAGGGCCCAAGACCACGGAUGGCGCGGCGCUCAAGAGCGAGGCCCUGGGCCUGGUGCGGGGCUGGCCGGACGACCUCGUCGCCGUCAUGCGGAGCACGCCGGACGACGCCGUGGUGAAGACGCCCCUCGUGGACCGUUGGCUCUGGCCGGGGCUGGCGCCCCCGGCGUCCAGGGGCGGCGUGGUGCUCGUCGGCGACGCGUGGCACCCGAUGACGCCCAACCUCGGCCAGGGCGCGUGCUGCGCGCUCGAGGACGCCGUCGUCCUGGCGCGCCACCUCGCGCCCGCGGUGCUCGCGGGCGACGACGCCGGCGAGGCGUUGCGCAGGUACGAGAGCGAGAGGUGGGGGCGCGUGUUCCCACUGACGGCGCGCGCGGGGCUCGUCGGUGCGCUCGUGCAGUGGGGCAACCCGCUGGUGUGCGCGGCGCGGGACGGCGUGGUCAUCCCGAGGUUGGUCAGGCUGGGGCCGUUCCUCGAGCACACCAACUUCGAGUGUGGCCUGCUCGAGCCGGCGGCGCCGUCGACAUGAUCUCAGUGUCCAAGACAUACGCCGGAACUCAGCAUAAGGUUUUGAUUACGUCAAGAUUAUUCUAGGAGUACAAUUGUUUUGUGUUUCUAGGAGUACAAUUGUUUCAGUUUAGUCUUAUAACUUCGAAACUGUAAUUUUGGGUCCUAAAACUAUUGAAGAUGUGUCAGUUUAGUCCUAUAACUUCGAAACUGUAAUUCUGGGUCCAAGACAUACGCCGGAACUCAGCAUAAGGUUUUGAUUACGUCAAGAUUACUGCAGUUUCGAAGUUAUAGGAGUCAAUAGUUUUAAAACCCAAGACUGCACUUUCGAAGUUAUAGGACUAAACUGACACACCUUCAAUAGUUUUAGGACCUAAAAUUACAGUUUCGAAGUUAUAGGACUAAACUGAUACACCUUCAAUAAUUUUAGGACCCAAAAAUACAGUUUUGAAAUUAUAGGACUAAACUGACACACCUCUAAUAAUUUUAGGAUUUAUGGUGCAUUUUACUCUAAAAAGAAAUAGGCCGCUUUAGCAAUUUUGGCACAUGUUUCCACGGUUUCAGCAAAAUCACAUAACCAUUCCCAUUAACAUAUGACGUAUUGUUCAUGUUUUUUGGUGAGAAACUUCUAAUUUUCGAUCAUGUCAGUACAAAGAAUACCAAAGGUAAUAAAAAAUACAACUAGGUACUAUAAGCACUGAAACGAGUCGAAGGUGUGCCACCGUCAUCGCCCCUCCCUCACUGGAGUCAAACAAACCUUGUUGUAGUAUACAUCCGGCAAGUCGUCGUGCUAAGACCCCAUAGGACCAAAGCACCAGAGCAGCAAUCAUCGCCAAUGAAGAAAGUCAUAGAUCGAAGGAUCGAACCUGUAAACACCCAAACGAAUACGAACGAAAACCAGAUCCAAACAGAUCCACCGAAGACCAGCACCGACUGAAUCCCACGAGAUUCGAUAGAGACACAUCUUCACUCGCCCUCCAACGACGCUAGCACCAUCGAGACGGGAUAGAACGUGAGAGACAUUAUUCUUACCGAAGGACAUCGCCACCGCCACACUGCCCCACCCAAGAUACUAAACCUAACAGGAACGGGAGACAUAACGUGGUCCCUCGCGCCAGCGGGGGGCUGAGGUCCUUCACACCUCCAUGGCCCAAAAGCCAUCGAAGAUAGGGUGGACCGGUGGCUGCGCCAACAGGAGGAGGAGGAAAGUGUGGGAUCUUUUCUUACUAGCACAACUCAAGGUAAAUAAAUUUGUGAGCAAAUUGAUCACGACAAAUGUAACAAGAUUUGAAUAUGUAUGUGUAUACGAGAGGUAAGACAUACAGCUAAGGGAGUGUGGCAUACCAUAACCGUGGCAGUGAAACAAACCCUUACGCCACAGUUUGGCAAUGUGUGCCCAUGAAUCAAACAUGUCCUCAAAACAUUAUACAUUUACUUUACAUAUCUCCUUCGUCCUCUCAAACAACGGCAAUUCCACUUUUUUUAUCAUGACAUCUGGCUACUUAGCAAACCACUAGCAAUAAGGGUGUGUUUGGUUCUCUAGCUAAACAUGCCCAGCCAGGCAAUAGGAUUCUAGCUCAUCUAAGGCAUAGCUCAUAUGAGCAAGGCUACUUGUUUGGUUUAUUUGACUAGCCUCCACUAAACCACGUUCACAACGGCAGUUACUUGCUUAAUAGGUUGUGAUCAAUUCUUGCCGACGGAGGCGAGCCAAAUCGGCUCACGGCUCACCUGUCCGGGCAUGGAUUUUCUAGCCCAUGCAGGCCAGUUUGCUAGGCAAAGCUAGCUUUUUUCUACUACACCAAACAGCCAUCCUGGCUGGGCGAGGCUAGAGUUUGGCUUGCUUGAGUUUCCCCCACGUUUACUCACACUCCACCCACAGUUGCGUUCUAGUCUCUCAACCAUUGUGGCCGCCAGGCCGGGCAUGCAAGACCAUAUACAUGAUGCCUUUGGGGCAGAAGUUGUUGCUCUCUCUAAUGUUGUGGCCCUUGCGUCUGACUUGGGUAUUCUGAGGGUGGUGUUUGAAACGGACUUGCAACUGCUAGUUGAGGCCAUGGACUUCAGAAGAGUCGACUCGUCUACAUACGCGGCUGUCAUUGAGGACACGAGGUUUCAACUUAAGAUGUGGUUUUCUAAACAUGUAAUAAAGGUUUGUCGACGUAGUGCAAAUGCGUAGCACGUGCGUUAGCCGAUAUNNNNNNNNNNNNNNNNNNNNNNNNNNNNNNNNNNNNNNNNNNNNNNNNNNNNNNNNNNNNNNNNNNNNNNNNNNNNNNNNNNNNNNNNNNNNNNNNNNNNNNNNNNNNNNNNNNNNNNNNNNNNNNNNNNNNNNNNNNNNNNNNNNNNNNNNNNNNNNNNNNNNNNNNNNNNNNNNNNNNNNNNNNNNNNNNNNNNNNNNNNNNNNNNNNNNNNNNNNNNNNNNNNNNNNNNNNNNNNNNNNNNNNNNNNNNNNNNNNNNNNNNNNNNNNNNNNNNNNNNNNNNNNNNNNNNNNNNNNNNNNNNNNNNNNNNNNNNNNNNNNNNNACCAGCCCAGGUGGUUGCUUGUGCUUCGAGCCAUCUGCCCGAGCACCGUGAAGUUAUAAAGCUUUGCUUGCUCUCAAAAAAUAAAUCUUGCAAGAUGGAUUAUUGACUAACCUUUGGGAUCGCCUAACCUCUAUUGUUUCUGCCGAAUUUGCUACUAUCUUGUCUUUGUCGCAUGACUUCAUUGCUAAUGACGCCCCGACAAAAGAUUCCUCAAUCAUGGGUUGCCGUUCUCAUGCAGGAAACCUUCACGCUUCUCUACCCCAACACCGAGCUCGACAUCAACACCGACUACAUUUAGACCUCUCUUGUUCAUAUUAAGGUCAAGAUUUUUGGUUGGCUUCUUUUCGGAGACAGGUUAAACUGCAAGGCGAACUUACUUCGCAAAUGUAUCUCCACCGACUCCAUCUGCCCUCAAUGCAACCACCCAUUAGUGGAAAAACGGCUAGCCACAACUUUAGUUGGUGGCGUGUCAUUUUCACACAACGCUAGCACUAUUUUGUUUCAAAUAGUGGUGGCGUAGACUUAUUUGAUACGUCAGCUUUACAUGGUUAGUACUAGCGUUGCUUUUUUCUACACGCCACAAAUAUGCUGGUCCGUCUGUACUCACCACUUGGAAGAUAGUGGUGGCGUCGGAUUGCUAUGUAUGUCAUAGUUAAUUAUCUAUUGCUGGCGUGCUAACUUAUGUUACGCGAGAAACAAUUUUUUCAUUUUAUCAAGUGUUUUAAGUAUUUAAUGAUUAUACUAGUAAAAAAUAAUGAAUAUUGUAUAUCAUACUUUUGUCUUUAUUAUUAGUAGUAUUUUUAUUAUUUUGGGUCUUCUAUUUCUUUGCUACUAGUUAUCAUUUUGAGUCUUUUAUUAUGUUGACUCUUUUAUCAAUCUUAGUAUUUUUUUUAUUUAGGCUGUUAUUAGCUAUGGUGUUGUGUUUUAAGCCCACGCCAGCACUGCCCUAUCUGAGUUAACUCCCUCCUUAGUAAAAGACCUAGCCGCCGCCCUCUUUUCACCCACGCACACACUCCCCCUCAACCAGCCGUCGUCGUGCCUCCGUACCUUGCCGCCACUCGCCGCACCGCCAACAUCAAGGUUCGUCCUCUCCUUCCUCCAGUGCUAGUUCAUCUAGGGUUUUCUAGUUCAUCUAUUUCAAUCUAGUGCUAGAUUGUUUUCUUUUGACCCUAGAGUUAGUUUGGGAAGAAAUCUUAGCAAUUUGACCAUUAUGGCUUUUAAAAGAUUGGGGGAAAAGAUGCAACAUUGUUCAGAUUUGAUUUUCUUUAGUAAUUAUUGCUUAUGUGAUUGACUACUGUCGUGCCCCGUCCUAGGCAUUCUGUCGAGAUAUGCGAAGGCGGCAAAGAACGACAUGGGAAGAGAGGAGAUACAGGAAACUGUCGACACAUAGACUUACCUCACUCGUUGGAAGAUCCGCUCGCCUGCCGCCGCCGCCGCCACCAGGAAGAGCAGAUGACACUCUACUAGCGAGUCGGGAGUGUGCAGCGCACAUUGGUCAGAAUGAGUUGGCACUUUGGCUUCACCGAACAAGAGCUUUUGAUUUUGAUACUCCCUCCAUUUUCUAAUACAGGACCACUCCAUCUUGAGAGAAGUGAAUUUACAACCCCGAACUUCAAUACCAUCUAAAUUACAACCCACAACCCUCAAGACCGGCUAGGAUGCAACCCUUCUCUCCCUAUUGGCCGGUUUUGACCCGUUGACUGGGUGAGCAGUAAAUUUAAAAAGAAAAUUGAUUUUUUUUCACCGUGUGAAAAUUUAAAAAAUGUAAAAAAAUCAAAAAAGAUGAUGUUUGAGUGUGUGAUGUACGUGCCAAUUUUCAGCUUGUUUGGACAUCUGAGCAACUCUCGGAAAAAAGACAAAUGUGGGCUCAGUGAAACAAUUAACUGUUCAAGCAUUGUUCGGCCCGAUUUUUUUUUCCUGAGACCUACUUAAAUAACUGGACGCCAAGAAAAUUGACAGGGACCUCACGCAUUGAGACAUCUUCAAUGCAAAAAAAUCGGAUGUUUUGAAAUUUUAGUUUUUUUUUAAUUUAUUGUUUUUUAACAUUUUAAAUAUUUUUAAAAUUUACUGUUCAUGAGUCAACGGGUCAAAACAGGUCAACAAGGAGAGAAGGGUUCAAUCUUGACCGAUUUUGAGAGUUGGGGGUUGUAAUUUAGACGGUAUUGGAGUUCGGGGUUGUAAAUUAGACUAGGGCUAGAGUUCGAGGUUGAAAUAUGCACUUGUCUCCUCCAUCUUUCAUGUCAAACUUUCAUUUAUAAUUCUUCCUUUUGUGUUUUUCCCUCAAAAAUAUUUCUUCAUUUUGUGCCAAACUUAGAUUUAUACAUUUGGUCAACAAAAUACUACAGUACCAGCAAGCCCUCUAAUACAAAGAGAAAAACCAAAGAACAAAAGACCAAAAACAGACAGUAGAGCUCGAACAAGACAGAUAGAGAGGUAGGAGCAUGCAAAUGGCACAAAUUGGAUCUCUGGAAGAGAUAGGAGUACUAUAUUAUGUGUCUACCAAAAUGCUCGCCGGUUCCUGUGAAUGAAGUGAACAAUGACAUGAGUCAAAACCUCCACAUGCAUGGCGUGGAGGGCAGCGCAGGGUCAACCCAUGGCAGAGGACGAUAGACUGUGCUUCCGCCCCAAUUCCACGAAAAACCCGGCGAGGUCCGCGUUGUCGCACAGCCGGUGCAGCCUCUCCAUGGGGUCUUCUUCUUCUUCAUCAUCGUCCUCGUCGUCGUCGUGGCAGAGGUCGUCGACGUCCAUGCCUUGGGCCGCCGCGGCGCAUGGCUCGUGGAACUGUAUGCUCGGCGCGCAGUUGAUCGCCGAGAGGUGCUCCAGGGCUUUCACCCUAAUGGCGGCCGCGUCCUUAUUCUCCCCGCUGCUGCGGCUGCCGGGCGCCUCCGUGCGGCACUGGAGCUUGUAACCCUGGCUCCUGUAGUAGUGAUCGUACGGAUGGUGUGGUAUCUCGUCGGCGAUCUCGUCUUCCUUGCCCACGGCGACCGCCGUCUGUAUGGAUAUGGAUGUAACCCAACAAACAAACAAAGUUACAGAGUGAUCGUUUGCCAUUAGAUAGAGCUAGCUAGUGUUACUUUGAUCAAUCACGACUCACGAGUGAGUUCAUGUGCGUAUACGUACCUCGUAGCACCAGCAGGAGGCGACGUGGUUAAUGGUGUAGCCGCCGCCGCCGAGGAGGAGCAGCGGCGCGUUGAAUCCCCGCAGGUACUUGACGCACUCCGCGUGGCCGCCCACCGACAGCUCGAGGCCAGCGAGCCGGUCGCCGGAGAGCGAGUCGGCGCCGCACUGCAGCACCACGGCGUCCGGCUGGAACACCUGCAUGGCCUUGCCGACGAUCGGCUUAAACAGCUCAUGGUACCCCUGGUCGUCCAUGCCCUUCUUGAGCGGCACGUUGAGGGCGUGGUACCUGCCGGCCCCCUCGCCAACGUCGUCGAUGCUCCCGGUGCCGGGGAAGAACUGGCUUUCGUACUGGUGGAAGGACAGCGUCAUCACCUGGUUGGAGUCCACGAAGGCCUUCUCCACGCCGUCCCCGUGGUGCGCGUCGAUGUCCACGUACAGCACGCGCGGGAAGCGGCCGAGGAGCUGCUUGAUGGCCAGCACGAUGUCGUUGACGUAGCAGAAGCCGUUGGCGUGGCCCCGGCACGCGUGGUGCAUGCCGCCGGACCAGUUGAUGGCGACGUCGUGGUCGCCCCUGCAGAGCGCGCGCGCCGCGGCCAGCGACCCGCCGGCGUAGCUCAGGCAGUACCCCAUGAGGCCUUCGAUGGCGGGAUUGUCGUUCGUGUAGGUGCCGUCCCAGCGGCGCACGGGACCGAUGCCAUGCUCCUCGGCUGUCCGCCGGAGGUCGGCGUCGCUGAUGUACCCGGCGGGGGUGAGCCUACCGAGGAGGUCGACGUAUUUCUGGUCGUGGAACGCGAGGAGCUCCUCCGGGCUGGCCGGCCUGGUGCGGAGGCGAGUCAUGUGGUUGAGGAGGCCGUAGGAGGCGACGAGGCCGUGGGUCAUGGCGACGCGGCGGGGCACCAUGGAGUGUCCCUCGCCGUAGUCGACGUUGGAGAUGCCCGGGUCGUAGUAGUAGCACACGCGCCGCUUCCUGCCGUCGGGGCACGACGGCGACGGCAGCGAGUUGGCACCCAUAUCCAUGGCUGUGAUUCUUGAAUCUUGAUUCGAGAGAGAGAUCGUGAUUCUACAAUCGUGACGAACGAAAUGCGUGGCGUGGAGAAAGAACGUAGCACGCGCGUACGCAUAUAUGUGGAGCGAGCUACACAUAGUCUGAGCUGGAGUCGGUCGCGGUCUCGAAGACGAGUCGGAACCUGUUAACUUUUCAAGCAACGGAACAGCAUGGUCGAUGCGAACGGAACAACCUUUUUUCCCCUCUGGCGUAUACACUUCCGUGUUGUUCUCUCAAUCAAAUAGACACAUUAAAGUGACACCUCCAUGUCCGAACUGCGAUCGAGGAGAGGAGGAUGUGAAGCGCACGGCCGUCCGCUGUAAAAAAGUCAAAAGAGAUAUGGACGCUACUUGCCAUGGAUGACAUUAUCACAGUAGAUCAUGCCAUACAUAACAUGUAGGUGAAGCAGUGCUUCAUUCGUGGCCUCAGACAUUUCCAUGAGACCGACGCAACCUUCUUCUUGAUAUAUUAGGUGGGAGAGAAGAAAACUUACACAUGGCAACAAUGAAGAGAUAAUCGUCGCGUGUCACAAGCAUAUAGAAUGGUGCCCAGGCGUUAUAUAUGCUGAAGCCAUUGGUCUUUCUGUUUAUCCUUUCUUUAGCNNNNNNNNNNNNNNNNNNNNNNNNNNNNNNNNNNNNNNNNNNNNNNNNNNNNNNNNNNNNNNNNNNNNNNNNNNNNNNNNNNNNNNNNNNNNNNNNNNNNNNNNNNNNNNNNNNNNNNNNNNNNNNNNNNNNNNNNNNNNNNNNNNNNNNNNNNNNNNNNNNNNNNNNNNNNNNNNNNNNNNNNNNNNNNNNNNNNNNNNNNNNNNNNNNNNNNNNNNNNNNNNNNNNNNNNNNNNNNNNNNNNNNNNNNNNNNNNNNNNNNNNNNNNNNNNNNGCCCAAGAGGAAGGGCAAGCCCAACCAACGAGUGGUUGGACCGGAGUGGACAGCGUAGCCUAUAUAUAUCGGGUGUGCGUGUGUGGCUAGGUUAUCGAUUGAUCCGUGUCUAGACCUGGCCGCCGUUGGGCGUGUAUCCCCUUCCCACCUCCGGCUCUCCUUCCCGAUCCCCUUCUUGCUUGGCGACCCUGACCAUCUUGUAUCCAGAAUCAGUGAGAUUGAGAAGUAAUUCAGCAUCUAAGGCCUAUGACCGUAUCAUCUGGUAUUCAGAGCCUACAAAUCCAUGCCAACUUUUCUCUCCGCCGCGCGGAUCUGGCGCCGACGCGCUAUCGUAGCCUCCAGCAAUUUAUGGCCGAUUUAGAUCUUCAGAAGAAGAUGGAGGAAGCGGCUACCAAGCGCAGCAACAUCGCCAAGGCCCUACUCGGGAUCCAGAAGAGCCUGGAUCAGAUCGCACCGGCGGUGGCGAAGAUGGAGCCGGCGCUCGCCUCACUCGAGCCGGUGGUCCAUGAUCUUGCGGCCUGGCGUCCCGGCGUGGACACCGUCGUGGGUCAGCUGCAAGCGGAUCUGGUCGACAUCCGCGCCCAACUGGAGAAGAUUGCGCUCCACACCAACACCACCGACAAGGCCGACCAAUCCUCGACGCCGGCAACGGCGGACGCGCUAAGGCUCAGGGCGGACCACAGUGGCGACGGCUACGGGCCCGUUGGCCACCGCAGGACACCUUCUCCACGGGCACUAGUCGGCGGAGGGCCUCUCCACCCCGCACCGGUCCCGGACAAUGGUACGUCGCGAACACCUCCCCGUACCCCUUUUCCCACCAUUCCAAUUCCACCACCACCACCAUUAGAAUUUGGGAAUGGCUUGCUGGCUGCAACUCCUUCUCGCCACCAACACAAUCAUGUUGAUUGCCCUGGUUUUGAUGGCAAAAAUCCUACGGGGUGGAGGAUUUGUUGCAAAGCUUACUUUCGUGUGUGCGGGAUUGAUCCAUUGGUGUGGACCGAUACAGCCGUUGUCCAUUUCACGGGGGUAGCGGCGUUGUGGCUAGAAUGGUCACAAAUGCAUCUCAAAAGCCCCAACUGGGAGUCUUUUUGUUCCUCGGUGUUAGAUAAGUUUGGGAGAUCAGAGUUCCAGCACCUACUGCGUCGCUUUGCCAAAAUUAAACAAACUGGAACAGUGCUAGAAUAUGCAGAACAAUUCAAUGUCAUUAUGCAUAGUCUUCUAGCGCAUCACAGUUCUUGGGAUCCCUUAUUUUUCACUACUCAAUUUUUAGAAGGACUGUCGCAUGAGAUUAAGAUUGCUGUUAUGUUGCAUCAUCCCCAAGAUUUGGAAACUGUUGUUUCUCUGGCUGCUCUACAGGAAGAGGUGGUCGAUAUGAUACGGCAGGAGCAAGAGGUGGCAGCUGGGUAUCGUCAUACCAGCGCUUCGCCGCGCGGUGGGCGCUACACGAGCAAGGCACCCACGGCGUUGCCCCUGAGCUCUUCGGCAGCUUCGCCAGGCGGUCGGUCGGGCAAUUCUCUGCCAUCCCCCACACCGCUCGACACCAGGCGCGGACUGGAUAUCGCCAAGACCACGCCCAACACGUGUACAUCGAUGGAAGACAAGCUCAAGGCUCUCCGGGCAUUCAGGAAGGCACGGGGAUUAUGUUUUACCUGCGGCGAGCGAUGGGGACCCGGCCAUGCGUGUGCUUCCACAGUGCAGUUACACAUUGUGGAGGAAUUGGUGGGGAUGUUGUCACCACCACCGUCACCUGAACCACCGACUAACCAAGUGGAAAGCUCAGAAGAUGAUUUGUGCCUCCUCUCAACAGCAGCUAUCAGUGGUACAGAAGCUCCGAAGGCCUUCCGACUGAUUGGAAGGAUUGGGAAUCAGAUUUUGCUCAUGCUUGUGGAUUCAGGAAGCUCUCACAGUUUUAUCAAUAGUGAAGUGGCAGGGGAGUGGCCUGGAGUGCAACCCAUGCAACACAAACUCAAGGUGAAAGUGGCAGAUGGUGCAAUCACGGUAUGCGACCGAGAGCUGCCAGGGUGUGAGUAUACCAUCCAAGGGGUGUCUUUCCGAUCCACAUUCAAGCUGUUUCCGCUGGGCUGUUAUGAUGUGAUCCUCGGGAUGGACUGGCUUGAAUCACAUGGACCAAUGUCUGUCAAUUGGACAGCGAAACACAUGUCCAUUGUGCAUCAACGGAAAAGGCUACAGCUGCAAGGGAUUGGGCAGAAGGAGGUACUAUGUCAAGCCAUAUCGUCCGCGCAGAUCAAUUUGCUGCAGGCGCACACUGACAUAGUGCAUACCCUGUUAGUGGCAGAAGUGAAACCUGAUGCAGAGCAACAAGAAGUUCCAGUGCCCAUUGCUAUGUCUUGAGCUUGCGUUGGUUUUCCCCGAAGAGGAGAGGGUGAUGCAGCAAGUGUAGCGUAAGUAUUUCCCUCAGUUUUGAGAACCAAGGUAUCAAUCCAGUAGGAGGCUCCUCAAAAGUCCCACGCACCUACACAAACAAACUGAGAACUCGCAACCAACGCGAUAAAGGGGUUGUCAAUCCCUUUACGGCCUCUUGCAAAAGUGAGAUCUGAUAGAGAGAUAAUAAUAUAUUUUUGAUAUUUUGUAAUAUAGAUGCAAAAAGUAAAGAUGCAAAUAAAAGUAGAUUGAAAGCAAAGAUGAUAAGAGAUAGACCCCGGGACCAUAGGUUUCACUAGAGGCUUCUCUCGAGAGCAUAAGUAUUAUGGUGGGUGAACAAAUUACUGUCGAGUAAUUGAUAAAAAAGCGCAUAGUUAUGAGAUUAUCUAGGCAUGAUCAUGUAUAUAGGCAUCACGUCCAUAACAAGUAGACCGACUCCUGCCUGCAUCUACUACUAUUACUCCACACAUCGACUGACUCCUGCCUGCAUCUAGAGUAUUAAGUUCAUAAGAACAGAGUAACGCCUUAAGCAAGAUGACAUGAUGUAGAGGGAUAAAAACAUGCAAUAUGAUAUAAACCCCAUCUUGUUAUCCUCGAUGGCAACAAUACAAUACGUGUCUUGCAACCCUUUCUGUCACUAGGUAAGAUCACCGCAAGAUUGAACCCAAAGCUAAGCACUUCUCCCAUGGCAAGAAAGAUCAAUCUAGUAGGCCAAACCAAACUGAUAAUUCGAAGAGACUUGCAAAGAUAACUCAAUCAUACAUAAAAGAAUUCAGAGAAGAUCCAAAUAUUAUUCAUAGAUAAACUUGAUCAUAAACCCACAAUUCAUCGGAUCUCGACAAACACACCGCAAAAAGAGAUUACAUCAAAUAGAUCUCCACAAGAGAGGGGGAGAAUAUUGUAUUGAGAUCCAAAAAGAGAGAAGAAGCCAUCUAGCUAAUAACUAUGGACCUGUAGGUCUGUGGUAAACUACUCACAACUCAUCAGAGGGGCUAUGGUGUUGAUGUAGAAGCCCUCCGUGGUCGAUUCCCCCUCCGGCAGAGUGCCGGCGAAGGCUCCAAGAUGGGAUCUCGCGGAUACAGAAGGUUACGGCGGUGGAAAUUGUGUUUCGUGAUGCUCCUGGAUGUUUUCGGGGUCCGUAGGUAUAUAUAGGAGGAAGAAGUAUGUCGGUGGACGCCCGAGGGACCCACGAGAUAGGGGGGCGCGCCCUACAGGGGGGCGCCCUCCUAUCUCGUGGAGCCCUCAGAGCUUUCUUGACUUGCACUCCAGGCUCUCCGGAUCAGAUUUGUUUCAAAAAUAACGCUCCCAAAGGUUUCAUUCUGUUUGGACUCCGUUUGAUAUUCGUUUUUUCGAAAUACUGAAAUAGGCAAAAAAAAUAGCAAUAUGGGUUGGGCCUCCGGUUAGUAGGUUAGUCCCAAAAAUGAUAUAAAUAUGUAGAAUAAAGCCCAUAAACAUCCAAAAGGGGUAAUAUAAUAGCAUGGAACAAUCAAAAAUUAUAGAUACGUUGGAGAUAUAUCAAACAUCCCCAACCUUAAUUCCUGCUCGUCCUCGAGUAGGUAAAUGAUAAAAAGAGAAUUUUUGAUGUGGAAUGCAACCAAGCAUAAUUUAUAAUGUAAUUUUCUUCAUUGUGGCAUGAAUGUUCAGAUCCAAAUGAAUACAAAAUAAAAGUUCAUAUUGACAUAAGAAAUAGUAAUACUUCAAGCAUACUAAUCAAAGUAAUCAUGUCUUCUCAAAAUAACAUGGCUAAAGAAAGUUAUCCCUACAAAAUCAUAUAGUCUGGUUGUUGCUCUAUCUUCAUCACACAAAGUAUUUAAUCAUGCACAACCCCGAUGACGAGCCAAGCAAUUGUUUCAUACUUUAAUAAUCUCAAACUCUUUCAACUUUCACGCAAUACAUGAGCAUGAGCCAUGGACAUAACACUAUAUGUGGAAUAGAAUGGUGGUUGUGGAGAAGACAAAAAAGGAGAAGAUAGUCUCACAUCAACUAGGCGUAUCAAUGGGCUAUGGAGAUGCCCAUUAAUAGAUAUCAAUGUGAGUGAGUAGGGAUUGCCAUGCAACGGAUGCACUAGAGCUAUAAAUAUAUGAAAGCUCAACAAAAGAAACCAAGUGGGUGUGCAUCCAACUUGCUUGCUCACGAAGACCUAGGGCACUUUUGAGGAAGCCCAUCAUUGAAAUAUACAAGCCAAGUUCUAUAAUGAAAAAUUCCCACUAGUAUAUGAAAGUGACAACAUAUGAAACUCUCUAUCAUAAAGAUCAUGGUGCUAUUUUGAAGCACAAGUGUGGAAAAAGAGAUAGUAGCAUUGUCCCUUCUCUCUUUUUCUCUCUUUUUUUCUUUUUCUUUUUCUUUUUCUUUUUCUUUUUCUCCUUUUUUUUCUUUGGCCUUCCUUUUUUUCUUUUUGGCAUUUCUCAUUUUUUUCUUUUCUCAUUUUUUUUUUCUUUUUGUAAAGUCCGAAGUCUCAUCCGGACUUGUGGGGGAAUCAUAGCCUUCAUCAUUUUUUCCUCACUAGGACAAUGCUCUAAUAAUGAAGAUCAUCAAUUUUUAUGGAUUUACAACUCAAAGCUAGAACAAAAUAUGACUCUAUAUGAAUGCCUCCGGUGGUAUACCGGGAUAUGCAAUGAAUCAAGAGCACAUGUAUGAAAAUUAUGAAGGUGGCCUUGCCACAAAUACGAUGUCAACUACAUGAUCAUGCAAAAAGCAAUAUGACAAAAGUAAUGUGUGUCAUAUGAACGGAACGGUGGAAAGUUGAAUGGCAAUAUAUCUCGGAAUGGCUAUGAAAAUGCCAUAAUAGGUAGGUAUGGUGGCUGUUUUGAGGAAGGUAAAUAAAGGGUUUAUGAUACCGGUGAAAAUUGCGCGGCACAAGAGAGGCUAGCAAUGAUGGAAGGAUAAAAGGGUGCGUAUAAUCCAUGGACUCAACAUUAAUCAAAAGAACUCAUAUACUUGUUGCAAAAAUUUAGAAGUCAUCAAAAACCAAAGUACUACGCGCAUGCUCCUAGGGGGAUAGAUUGGUAGGAAAAGACCAUCGCUCGUCCCCGACCACCAUUCAUAAGGAAGACAAUCAAUAAAUAAAAUUAUGCUCCAACUUCAUCACAAAGCGGUUCACCAUACGUGCAUGCUACGGGAAUCACAACCCUUAACACAAGUAUUUUUCAUAAUCACCUCAACUAGCAUGACUCUAAUAUUACUACCUCCAUAUCUCAAAACAAUUAUCAAGUAUCAAGUUGAUCAUAGCAUCCAAUUCACUUUCUAUGAUAGUUUUUAUUAUACCCAACUUGGAUGCUCAUCAUUCUAGGACCAACCUUAUGACAAUAGCAAAUACCAUGCUGUUCUAAAAGACUCUAAAAAUAAUAUAAGUGAAGCAUGAGAGACUAGCAAUUUCUUCAAAAUUAUUCCACCGUCGUGCUCUAAAAGAUAUAAGUGAAGCACUAGAGCAAAAACUAUCAAGCUCAAAAGAUAUAAGUGAAGCACAUAGAGUAUUCUAGCAAAUUCUAAUCAAAUAGGCUUCUCCCAAAAGGUGUGUACAGCAAGGAUGAUUUUAGUAAACUAACAAGCAAAGACUAAUAUAAUACACGACGCUCCAAGCAAAACACAUAUCAUGUGGCGAAUAAAAAUAUAGCUCCAAGUAAAGUUACCAAUGAACGAAGACGAAAGAGGGGAUACCUUCCCGGGGCAUCCCAAGCUUAGGCUUUUGGCUAUUCUUGAAUAUCUUGGGGUGCCAUGGGCAUCCCCAAGCUUAGGCUCUUGCCACCCUUUAUUCCAUAGUCCAUAAAAGCUUUACCCAAAACUUGAAAACUUCACAACACAAAACUCAACAGGAAAUCUUAUAAGCUCCGUUAGUGAAAGAAAACAAAACCACCACAUAAGAUACUGCAAUGAACUCAUUAUUUAUUCAUUUUGGUGUUAAACCUACUGUAUUACAACUUCUUUAUGGUUCAUAAACUAAUUUACUAGCCAUAGAUGCAUUGAAAUAAGCAAACAACACACGAAAAACAGAAUCUGUCAAAAACAGAACAGUCUGUAGCAAUCUGUAACUAACGCAAACUUCUGGAACUCUAAAACUCCUACCAAAAUAGGAAGUCCUGGACAAUUUGUCUAUUGAAUAUCAGAAAAAAGAAUCAACGCAAAAGCACGUUCCUGUGAUUUAACAAAAUUAUAUUCGUGCGCGCAAAGUUUCUGUUUUUUAGCAAAAACAAAUCAACUACCAUCGUAGGUUAUCCUAUAGGUUCUACUUGGCACAAACACUAAUUAAAAGAUAAAAACACAUCUAAACAGAGAGUAGAUGCAAGAUUUAUUCCUAAACAGGAGCAAAAACAAAAAACAUAAAGAAAAUUGGGUUGCCUCCCAACUAGCGCUAUCGUUUAACGUCCCUAGCUAGGCAUAAAAGCGAAGAUAGAUUUAACUAGUGCCAUCUUUGGCACUAGAUUCAUAAGGUAGUUUGACUUUCUUUCUUGGAAAGUGUUCCAUGCCUUUCUUUAAAGGAAAUUGGAAUCUAAUGUUCCCUUCCUUCAUAUCAAUAAUCGCAUCAAUCGUUCUAAGGAAAGGUCUACCAAGAAUAAUAGGGCAAGAAAGAUUGGAAUCUCUAUCAAGAAUGAUAAAAUCUACGGGCACCAAAUUUCUAUUUGCAACAAUAAGGACAUCAUUGAUCCUUCCCAUAGGCUUUUUAAUGGUGGAAUCCACAAGGUGCAAAUUUAAAGAGCAAUCAUCAAGAUCAUGGAAACCUAGAAUAUCACAUAAAGUUUUCGGAAUCGUGGAAACACUAGCACCCAAAUCACACAAAGCAAAACACUUAUAAUCUUUAAUUCUAAUCUUUAUAGUAGGUUCCCACUCAUCAUUAAGUUUUCUAGGUAUAGAAACUUCCAAAUUCAGUUUUUCAUCAUAAGAUUGCAACAAGGCAUCACCAAUAUGUUUGGUAAAAGCUUUAUUUUGACUAUAAGCAUGAGGAGAAUUAACAACGGAUUGCAACAAGGAAAUACAACCUUUUAAAGAGCAAUUAUCAUAAUCAAAUUCCUUAAAAUCCGAGAUAGUAGGUUCAACAUUAUUAGAAGUUGAAGAUUCUCCAAUCUCUCUUUUACCAAAUUUAACAUUAAGAUCUAAAGACUCCGAAUUCUUGGGACGCCUUCUAGGCAAAGUGGAUUCAUCAUCACUCCCAUAAUCAUCAAAAUUCAUAUUGCAAAACAUAGAUCUAAUCGGAGACGCAUCAAUAACUUUAAGAUCCUCAUCAUUAUUUUCAUAUAGACUAGAAGAACACGAUUUUAUAAAGCUUUCCUUUUUAGCACGCAAUCUAGCGGUUCUUUCCUUGCACUCGUCAAUGGAAAUUCUCAUUACUUUGAGAGACUCAUUGAUAUCAUGCUUAGGAGAAGAAGAUCCAAGUUUAAGAGAAUUAACAUCAAGCGAAAGUCUAUCAACAUUCCUAGCCAAAUCAUCAACUUUGAGCAAUUUUUCUUCAAGCAAAGCAUUAAAAUUAUUUUGAGAAAUCAUAAAUUAUUUCACACUAUUCUCAAAAUCAGAGGAAAUUUUAUUAAAAUUACCAUAAGAAUUAUUGUAGGAAUUUCCAUAAUUAUUAGAGGGAUUACUAGGGAACGGUCUAGUAAUAAAAUUUCCUCUAUAAGCAUUGUUUCCAAAACUAUUCCUACCAACAAAAUUCACAUCCAUAGAUUCAUUAUUAUUCUCAAUCAAAGAAGGCAAAGGCAUAUCAUUGGGAUCAAGAGGAGCAUUUUUAGUAGCAAACAUCUUCAUAAGUUCAUCCAUCUUUCCACUCAAAACAUUGAUUUCUUCUAUAGCAUGCACUUUUUUACUAGAAGAUCUUUCGGUGUGCCAUUGAGAAUAAUUAGACAUAAUAUUAUCAAGCAAUUUUGUAGCAUCUCCUAACGUAAUUUCCAUAAACGUGCCUCCCGCAACCGAAUCUAAGAGAUUUCUAGAAGCAAAGUUCAAACCGGCAUAAAAUUUUUGUAUGAUCAUUCAUAAAUUCAAACCAUGAGUAGGGCAAUUGCGAAGCAUCAAUUUCAUUCUUUCCCAAGAUUGGCAACAUGCUCAUGAUCUAGUUGUUUAAAAUUCAUAAUAUCGUUCCUAAGAGUGAUGAUCUUAGCGGGAGGAAAAUACUUAGAGAUAAAAGCAUCUUUGCACUUGUUCCAAAAAUCAAUACUAUUUUUAGGCAAAGAUGAGAACCAAAUUUUAGCACGACCUCUAAGUGAAAAUGGAAAUAACUUCAAUUUGACAAUAUUGUUAUCCGUAUCUUUCUUCUUUUGCAUAUCACACAAAUCAACAAAAUUGUUUAGAUGAGUAGCGGCAUCUUCACUAGAAAGGCCGGCGAAUUGAUCUUUCAUAACAAGAUUCAGCAAAGCAACAUUGAUUUCACAAGACUCAACAUCAUUAAGAGGAGCAAUCAGAGUACUAAGGAAAUCAUUAUUAUUGGUAUCGAGAAGUCACACAACUUGGUAUUAUCUUGUGCCAUGGCAACAAGUAAUCCAACACACAAGCAAAUAGAAAAACAACAAGCGAAAAAGAGAGGAGGAGAUUGGGAAAGAGAGGGCGAAUAAAAUGGCAAGGGCGAAGUGGGGGGAGAGGAAAACGAGAGGCAAAUAAUGUAAAUGCGAGGGAGAUGAGUUUGUGAUGGGUACUUGAUAUGUCUUGACUUGAGCGACGACCUCCCCGGCAACGGCGCCAGAAAUCCUUCUUGCUACGUCUUGAGCUUGCGUUGGUUUUCCCCGAAGAGGAGAGGGUGAUGCAGCAAGUGUAGCGUAAGUAUUUCCCUCAGUUUUGAGAACCAAGGUAUCAAUCCAGUAGGAGGCUCCUCAAAAGUCCCACGCACCUACACAAACAAACUGAGAACUCGGAAGCAACGCGAUAAAGGGGUUGUCAAUCCCUUCACGGCCUCUUGCGAAAGUGAGAUCAGAUAGAGAGAUAAUAAUAUAUUUUUGGUAUUUUGUAAUAUAGAUGCAAAAAGUAAAGAUGCAAAUAAAAGUAGAUUGAAAGCAAAGAUGAUAAGAGAUAGACCCGGGGGCCAUAGGUUUCACUAGAGGCUUCUCUCGAGAGCAUAAGUAUUACGGUGGGUGAACAAAUUACUGUCGAGCAAUUGAUAGAAAAGCGCAUAGUUAUGAGAUUAUCUAGGCAUGAUCAUGUAUAUAGGCAUCACGUCCAUAACAAGUAGACUGACUCCUUCCUGCAUCUACUACUAUUAUUCCACAUAUCGACCGACUCCUGCCUGCAUCUAGAGUAUUAAGUUCAUAAGAACAGAAUAACGCCUUAAGCAAGAUGACAUGAUGUAGAGGGAUAAAAACAUGCAAUAUGAUAUAAACCCCAUCUUGUUAUCCUCGAUGGCAACAAUACAAUACGUGUCUUGCAACCCUUUCUGUCACUGGGUAAGAUCACCGCAAGAUUGAACCCAAAGCUAAGCACUUCUCCCAUGGCAAGAAAGAUCAAUCUAGUAGGCCAAACCAAACUGAUAAUUCAAAGAGACUUGCAAAGAUAACUCAAUCAUACAUAAAAGAAUUCAUAGAAGAUUCAAAUAUUAUUCAUAGAUAAACUUAAUCAUAAACCCACAAUUCAUCGGAUCUCGACAAACACACCGCAAAAAGAGAUUACAUCGAAUAGAUCUCCACAAGAGAGGGGGAGAACAUUGUAUUGAGAUCCAAAAAGAGAGAAGAAGCCAUCUAGCUAAUAACUAUGGACCCGUAGGUCUGUGGUAAACUACUCACAACUCAUCGGAGGGGCUAUGGUGUUGAUGUAGAAGCCCUCCGUGGUCGAUUCCCCCUCCAACAGAGUGCCGGCGAAGGCUCCAAGAUGGGAUCUCGCGGAUACAGAAGGUUACGGCGGUGGAAAUUGUGUUUCGUGAUGCUCCUGAAUGUUUUCGGGGUCCGUAGGUAUAUAUAGGAGGAAGAAGUACGUCGGUGGACGCCCGAGGGGCCCACGAGAUAGGGGGGCGCGCCCUACAAGGGGGGCCUCUUAUCUCGUGGAGCCCUCGGAGCUUUCUUGACUUGCACUCCAGGCUCUCCGGAUCAGAUUUGUUCCAAAAAUAACGCUCCCGAAGGUUUCAUCCCGUUUGGACUCCGUUUCCUUUUCUUCGAAAUACUGAAAUAGGCAAAAAAAACAGCAAUAUGGGUUGGGACUCCGGUUAGUAGGUUAGUCCCAAAAAUGAUAUAAAUAUGUAGAAUAAAGCCCAUAAACAUCCAAAAGGGGUAAUAUAAUAGCAUGAAACAAUUAAAAAUUAUAGAUACGUUGGAGACGUAUCACCCAUUCAGCAGCUGCUCGAGGAGUUUCAGGAGUUGUUUGAUGAGCCAAAAGGGUUACCUCCAGCGCGAGAAUUUGACCACUCCAUCGAGUUGAUUCCCGGAGCCCAGCCAGUCAAUGUCCGAUCGUACAGAUACAACCCAACCCAAAAGGACGAGAUCGAAGCCCAGAUUUUGGAGAUGCUUAAGCAAGGGAUAAUUCAAGUCAGCCACAGCCCAUUUUCUUCACCGGUCCUAUUGGUGCAGAAGAAGGAUGGGGACUGGAGAUUUUGUAUUGACUUUCGGCAUCUGAAUGCGAUUACGGUCAAGACAAGAUACCCUAUACCAAUUAUUGAAGAACUCCUCGACGAGCUGUAUGGUCCUCAAAUCUUCACCAGCCUGGACUUAAGAGUAGGGUACCACCAGAUUCGGAUGAGGCCCGGGGAUGAAGCAAAAACGGCAUUCCAAACCCAUCAUGGUCAUUUUGAAUUCAAGGUGAUGCCGUACGGAGUGACGGGUGGCCCUUUCACUUUUCAGAAGGGGGUGCACAUUGUGUUGGGUCCCCUAAUCCGCAAGGGAGUGCUGGUUUUCAUCGACGACAUCCUCGUCCAUAGUAAGACCAUGAAGGAGCACGUUCGGUUGCUGCGAUCCGUGUUCCAGUCGCCGAGGGAGCAUGCCUUUAAACUAAAACUGAAGAAGUGUUCAUUUGGACAGCCUCAGUUGCGUUACCUAGGCCAUGUGAUCAGUGCUGAAGGUGUCCAUACAGGUCCCAAGAAUAUCGAGCAGGUGCAAGCAUGGUAGCCACCUGCUUCAGUCAAGGAGCUGCGACAAUUCUUGGGGCUCGCAGGAUACUACCGGCGUUUCAUCAAGCAUUACGGGGUCAUUAGCCGUUCUCUCACUGACUUGUUAAAGAAAGGGGUCCCAUAUAUUUGGACAAGUGUGCACGACCAAACAUUCACCACUCUCAAGACAGCAGUGACAACAGCUCUGGUACUAGCUCUUCCAGAUUUUUCCCAGCCCUUCGUGAUAGAAACUGAUGCAUCCGAGGCAGGGAUCGGCGGGGUGCUCAUGCAACGACAACAUCCAAUUGCCUUUCUCACUCAAGCAUUGGGGCCGCGGCAGCGUGCACUGUCGACAUACAAGAAAGAAUGCCUCGCGAUUCUCCCGGCAGUGGACAAAUGGUGUUCUUAUCUGCUCCUAACUGAGUUCACCAUCCGUACUGACCACCGGAGCCUGUCGUGUCUCGAUGAGCAACGGCUUACCACACCAUGGCAGCACAAAGCUCUCUCCAAACUUCUAGGGUUGAAUUAGAAAAUCGAGUACCGCAAGGGGGCCACCAACUUCGCAGCGGAUGCAUUAUCAAGACGCCCAGAUGCAGUGGUGGCAGCAGUUACUGAAUGUGUGCACGUGUGGUUGACAGAAGUGAAGUAAGGGUACCAGAACGACAGCGCUUGUUCCAAGAUGUUGACCACGGCUGCGGUUGGGGCACCAGUACCAGAGCCAUUUCAAGUCGUCAAUGACCUCAUUCGAUACAAAGGCCGGGUGUGGUUGGGCAACAACACAACAACACAACAGAAGAUUUUGCAUGAACUACAUGCAAGUGCUUUGGGAGGCCACUCAGGGGUGCAUGCGACCUACGUUCACAUUAUCCGGCUCUUUGCAUGGCCGAAACUGAAACAAACAGUCAAGAAGUUUGUGGCAAGGUGCGCUACGUGCAAGCAAGCCAAGUCUGAGCAUGUGAAAUACCCAGGGCUGUUACAACCAUUGCCGGUUUCGGACCACGCGUGGGAAAUGGUGACCCUUGACUUCGUGGAAGGGCUUCCUACAUCCAAGGGCUACAACUCCAUUCUGGUGGUGGUCGAUAAGCUCACUCGAUAUGCACACUUCAUCCCUCUGAGGCAUCCAUUUUCUGCUCUGCAAGUUGCAAAAGCAUACAUGGAGAAUGUGUUCAAACUGCAUGGGCCACCAGAUAAGAUGGUGUCAGACAGGGAUCGCAUCUUCACCAGUAAAGUAUGGACAGAGUUGUGCCGGCUGACUCGCACUACGCUCAACAUUUCUUCGGCUCGUCACCCCCAGACCGAUGGCACCACGGAACAAGUCAAUCAGUGUAUGGAAUUAUAUCUUCGGUGCUUCGUGCACAACUGCCCCAGCGGAUGGUCAGAAUGACUGGCACUGGCCGAGUUCUGGUACAACACGUCCUAUCACUCUGCACUCAAGUCUUUCCCGUUUGAGGUUCUAUACGGCCACAAACCCAGGUUCUUUGGGAUCAACAACGUGGCUGACGAGACUGUGACUGACCUCGCAACCUGGACAAGG